AUUGCAUUUUUAACCAGGUUUUCCGAAGGAAAAAACUGGUUAUUAGAUUGGCGAAUGCGGGCGGGCUGGCUGGCUGGCGGGCUGGCUGGCGGGCUGGCGGAAUAAGCUUGUCCAGGCCAUAACUAUGUCGUUCAUUGUCAGAUUUUAAAAUCAUUUGGCACAUUUGUUCACCAUCAUUGGACGGUGUGUCGCGCGAAAUAAUUACGUCGAUAUCUCCAAGGUCAAGGUCACACUUUGAGUUCAAAGGUCAAAAAUGGCCAUAAAUGAGCUUGUCCUGGCCAUAACUAUGUCAUUCAUUGUGAGAUUUUAAAAUCAUUUGGCACAUUUGUUCACCAUCAUGGGACGGUGUGUCCCACGAAAGAAUCACGUCAAUAUCUCCAAUGUCAAGGUCGCCACGACUAAAAAUAGAUUUAAAAAAAAAAAAAAAAACUUACAAAGGGGGUUAAUUUUUUUUGGUCAUUUCAAAA